CAGUAGCCGCGGUAAUACGUAGGUGGCAAGCGUUGUCCGGAAUUAUUGGGCGUAAAGGGCUCGCAGGCGGUUUCUUAAGUCUGAUGUGAAAGCCCCCGGCUCAACCGGGGAGGGUCAUUGGAAACUGGGAAACUUGAGUGCAGAAGAGGAGAGUGGAAUUCCACGUGUAGCGUUGAAAUGCGUAGAGAUGUGGAGGAACACCAGUGGCGAAGGCGACUCUCUGGUCUGUAACUGACGCUGAGGAGCGAAAGCGUGGGGAGCGAACAGGAUUAGAUACCCCAGUAGUCCCUGUCUCUUAUAC
rnacentral:rRNA from 1 species